UACGUAGGGUGCUAGCGUUGUCCGGAUUUAUUGGGCGUAAAGAGCUCGUAGGCGGCUUGAUAAGUCGGAUGUGAAACCUCCAGGCUCAACCUGGAGUCGCCAUCCGAUACUGUCAUGGCUAGAGUCCGGUAGGGGCCCACGGAAUUCCUGGUAUCGGUGAAAUGCGCAGAUAUCAGGAGGAACACCGGUGGCGAAGGCGGUGGGCUGGGCCGGCACUGACGCUGAGGAGCGAAAGCGUGGGGAGCGAACAGG
rnacentral:rRNA from 1 species